AGCCGAAAGCCCCCGGGAUUGCAGUAGUUCCUCCCUGUACACAUCUGAGCGGAGAAAACAAAGUGUGGAUUACUACACUUGCUAAUUACUACUAACAAAUAAAGUAGGUUGAAAACAGAAUGGAGUGAGAAGACACAAUCUCUCCCCCAAGGAGCUUCUGGCCUGGUGGGAUGGAUAUACAGACAAAUAGGUAGUUACAA